rnacentral:rRNA from 1 species
GUCAGCAGCCGCGGGAACACCGGCGGCCCGAGUGGUGAUCGUGAUUAUUGGGUCUAAAGGGUCCGUAGCCGGUUUGGUCAGUCCUCCGGGAAAUCUGAUAGCUCAACUAUUAGGCUUUCGGGGGAUACUGCCAGACUUGGAACCGGGAGAGGUAAGAGGUACUACAGGGGUAGGAGUGAAAUCUUGUAAUCCCUGUGGGACCACCUGUGGCGAAGGCGUCUUACCAGAACGGGUUCGACGGUGAGGGACGAAAGCUGGGGGCACGAACCGGAUUAGAUACCCGGGUAGUCCCAGCCGUAAACGAUGCUCGCUAGGUGUCAGGCAUGGCGCGACCGUGUCUGGUGCCGCAGGGAAGCCGUGAAGCGAGCCACCUGGGAAGUACGGCCACAAGGCUGAAACUUAAAGGAAUUGGCGGGGGAGCACAACAACGGGUGGAGCCCUGCGGUUUAAUUGGACUCAACGCCGGACAACUCACCGGGGGCGACAGCAAUAUGUAGGCCAAGCUGAAGACUUUGCCUGAAUCGCUGAGGAGUGGUGCAUGG